rnacentral:rRNA from 1 species
AGCGAAGCAGUGAUGUGGAGCAAAACUCAAAAAAAUAAGUCUCAGUUCGGAUUGAAGGCUGAAAUUCGCCUUCAUGAAGCCGGAAUUGCUAGUAAUGGCAGGUCAGCAUACUGCCGUGAAUACGUUCCCGGGCCUUGUACACACCGCCCGUCAAGCCAUGGGAGCCGGGGGUGCUUGAAGUGCGUCGCCGCAAGGCGCGCCCUAGAGCAAAACCGGUGACUGGGGCUAAGUCGUAACAAGGUACC